rfam:Bradyrhizobium sp. ORS278,complete sequence.
UUCCUGCCAUUUACGGUUGAUUAAGCUUUCGCGUUUACAACCGGUACCGUCCUCGUUUGGACACUGAGUGGCUCCUGUCCACUCUGUUUGACGCCUCCCUGUUAUCAACUUCAAAGCCGCCGGCAACGGCGGCUCUUUUUUU